CCAUGCGGAUCAGAACGGUAAUGCGUGAGGCUGAUUCGUAAUCAGCAGGUCGGUGGUUCGAGUCCACUCGCCGGUACCA
rnacentral:tRNA from 1 species